rnacentral:rRNA from 1 species
UACGUAGGUGACCAGCGUUGUCCGGAUUUACUGGGCGUAAAGAGCGCGCAGGCGGUCGUUCAAGUCGAGUGUGAAAGCCCCCGGCUCAACUGGGGAGGGUCAUUCGAUACUGAUCGACUCGAAGGCAGGAGAGGGAAGUGGAAUUCCCGGUGUAGUGGUGAAAUGCGUAGAUAUCAGGAGGAACACCGGUGGUGUAGACGGCUUUCUGGACCGUAACUGACGCUGAGACACGAAAGCGUGGGUAGCAAACAGG